rnacentral:rRNA from 1 species
UUCGCAAUGCCCGAAAGGGUGACGAUGCGACGCCGCGUGAGCGAAGAAGGCCCUAGGGUUGUAAAGCUCUGUCGAGGGUUAUGAAAUAUAGAUGGGUUAAUACCCCAUUUAUUUGACAAAGGCCCAAAAGGAAGCCACGGCUAACUCUGUGCCAGCAGCCGCGGUGAUACAGAGGUGGCGAGCGUUGUUCGGUAUUAUUGGGCGUAAAGAGCACGUAGGUGGUUUUGUAAGUCAGGUGUGAAAGCCUUCUGUUCAAAGGAAGAACGGCAUCUGAAACUGCAGAUCUUGAGUGUAGGAGGGGAGAGUGGAACUUCUGGUGGAGCGGUGAAAUGCGUAGAUAUCAGAAGGAACGUCGGCGGCGAAAGCGACUCUCUGGCCCGUAACUGACGCUGAGUGUGCGAAAGCUAGGGGAGCAAACGGGAUUAGAUACCCCGGUAGUCCUAGCCGUAAACGAUGGGCACUAAGUAGAGGGGUUUU